GACGAACGCUGGCGGCGUGCCUAAUACAUGCAAGUUGAGCGAUGAAGCUUGGUGCUUGCCCCAAUUUGAAGAGCAGCGAACGGGUGAGUAACGCGUGGGGAAUCUGCCUUUGAGCGGGGGACAACAUUUGGAAACGAAUGCUAAUACCGCAUAACAACUUUAAACAUAAGUUUUAAGUUUGAAAGAUGCAAUUGCAUCACUCAAAGAUGAUCCCGCGUUGUAUUAGCUAGUUGGUGAGGUAAAGGCUCACCAAGGCGAUGAUACAUAGCCGACCUGAGAGGGUGAUCGGCCACAUUGGGACUGAGACACGGCCCAAACUCCUACGGGAGGCAGCAGUAGGGAAUCUUCGGCAAUGGACGAAAGUCUGACCGAGAAACGCCGCGUGAGUGAAGAAGGUUUUCGGAUCGUAAAACUCUGUUGGUAGAGAAGAACGUUGGUGAGAGUGGAAAGCUCAUAAAGUGACGGUAACUACCCAGAAAGGGACGGCUAACUACGUG
rnacentral:rRNA from 1 species